rnacentral:rRNA from 1 species
GACAGAGGGUGCAAACGUUGCUCGGAAUCACUGGGCGUAAAGGGCGUGUAGGCGGGAAGGAAAGUCAGAUGUGAAAUCCCCAGGCUCAACCUGGGAACUGCAUUUGAAACUCCCUUUCUUGAGUACCGGAGAGGAAAGUGGAAUUCCUGGUGUAGAGGUGAAAUUCGUAGAUAUCGGAAGGAACACCAAUGGCGAAGGCAGCUCACUGGGACGAUACUGACGCUGAGACGCGAAAGCGUGGGGAGCAAACAGG